rnacentral:rRNA from 1 species
GAUCAUGGCUCAGGAUGAACGCUAGCUACAGGCUUAACACAUGCAAGUCGAGGGGCAGCGGGAAGUUGCUGCAAGCUCGCCGGCGACCGGCGCACGGGUGAGUAACGCGUAUCCAACCUGCCCCACGGUCGGGGACAGCCCGGCGAAAGUCGGAUUAACCCCCGAUGGUCCCGCAAGACGGCAUCAGAUUGCGGGUAAAGGCUCGUCCGCCGUGGGAUGGGGAUGCGUAGGAUUAGGCAGCAGGCGGGGUGACGGCCCACCUGGCCGGCGAUCCUUAGGGGUUCUGAGAGGAAGGUCCCCCCACACUGGUACUGAGACACGGACCAGACUCCUACGGGAGGCAGCAGUGAGGAAUAUUGGUCAAUGGGCGGAAGCCUGAACCAGCCAAGUAGCGUGCAGGAAGACGGCCCUACGGGUUGUAAACUGCUUUUAUGCGGGGAUAAAGUGAGGGACGUGUCCCUUAUUGCAGGUACCGCAUGAAUAAGGACCGGCUAAUUCCGUGCCAGCAGCGGC